GCAGAGUAGUACGAAAAGCGUUAAGUGCCGCAUAACGGGAUGUUGAAUGCGGACGAAAAGGUCUUUACGCCUUGCGGUUUUUCGGCGCAUCCA
rnacentral:ncRNA from 1 species